CUACGGGACGCACCAGUGGGGAAUCUUAGACAAUGGGGGAAACCCUGAUCUAGCCAUGCCGCGUGAGCGACGAUGGCCCUAGGGUUGUAAAGCUCUUUCAGCAGGGAAGAUAAUGACGGUACCUGCAGAAGAAGUCCCGGCUAACUCCGUGCCAGCAGCCGCGGUAAUACGGAGGGGGACUAGCGUUGUUCGGAAUUACUGGGCGUAAAGCGCGCGUAGGCGGAUUGUUAAGUCGGGGGUGAAAUCCCGGGGCUCAACCCCGGAACUGCCCUCGAUACUGGCAGUCUUGAGUUCGAGAGAGGUGAGUGGAAUUCCGAGUGUAGAGGUGAAAUUCGUAGAUAUUCGGAGGAACACCAGUGGCGAAGGCGGCUCACUGGCUCGAUACUGACGCUGAGGUGCGAAAGCGUGGGGAGCAAACAGGAUUAGAUACCCUCGUAGUC
rnacentral:rRNA from 1 species